GGUCGCUUAGCUCAGUUGGUUAGAGCGUGGUGCUAAUAAGAAAACCCCUUGAUAACGCCAAGGUCGCAGGUUCGACCCCUGCAGUGAUCA
rnacentral:tRNA from 1 species